rnacentral:piRNA from 1 species
CAAGGCAAAAUAUCAUGAGUGC